CCACUGUACAGCAAGGGGGUCAGUUUAUCCUUACAUGUAUACAUUACAAUUACAUUUUUUUCCCCACCCUUUCUUCUGUUGCAACAUGAGUAUCUAGACAUAGUUCUCAAUGCUAUUCAGCAGGAUCUCUUUGUAAAUCUAUUCUAAGUUGUGUCUGAUAAGCCCAAGCUCCCGAUCCCUCCCACUCCCUCCCCCUCCCAUCAGGCAGCCACAAGUCUCUUCUCCAAGUCCAUGAUUUUCUUUUCUGAGGAGAUGUUCAUUUGUGCUGGAUAUUAGAUUCCAGUUAUAAGUGAUAUCAUAUGGUAUUUGUCUUUGUCUUUCUGGCUCAUUUCACUCAGGAUGAGAUUCUCUAGUUCCAUCCAUGUGGCUGCAAAUGGCAUUAUGUCAUUCUUUUUUAUGGCUGAGUAGUAUUCCAUUGUGUAUAUAUACCACAUCUUCUGAAAGAUCCGGAAAUUUGAUGCCAAAGGGCUUAUGCCAGUCAGUAAGUAAACAACCCGAUGAAUCCUAAAGUAAAGAAGUCUGUUCAUUUAGCUCUUAAUUGCCCAAAUAUUAUACCAUUGAUUUUCUUUUUACUUUAUAUCUAUUAAAAUACCAUGUAUUAUGAGAAAUUCUUCCAAAUUAUUUGGUUCCAUUAUGCUCUUGCUAGGCAAUUUUUAUUACAUGUGCCAUGUCUUUAGGUACUUUUUUAGGUAAUGUAGACAGUCUGGCUAGAGUUAAAACAGCUGGAAACAUUUCUGGAAUUGAGGAAUUCCUUUAAUUCUCAACAGUUACAAAAGAAAUUAGCUGUCCAGGAAGGAGAAAAUGGAGUCUAAUAAAGCUAGAAAUGGACACAAAAAUGUCUAUCCAGAAUGAAAGGAAGAUUUCCGUUUGGAAAAUGCUCUCAUAACUGGAAAUUAGCCUUUCAUUUUGACAGCUAACUACUGUACUUUAAAACAUUUUCUUUAGGAUGACUGGAAUAAUUAUAGCUACCACAUCCUUCUGAUGGGGAAAUAGCUCAUGGAGAGAUAAAGGCAGAGAGUAAGCAGGCUGAAGAGUCCUAUCUAAUUAAAACCUGUCAUCUAAUUAGACAAUUCCCAGCAAUAGGAGGGUCUCAGUCUAGUUUUCUGAUAGGGCAGCGGUGUUCCAAAACAUGAGUCACACAAUCAAAUGUUCUCACUGAGCAUCACCAAUUACCCUUAUUUAAUCACAAUUUCUCUUUUUGUGGAAACAAGGACCCCAACUUUUCUACAUGCAAAUUAAACAGUAUACUAUUCCUCUUGCACAGGGUGUCCCCUGAAAAAUAUUUUAUUGCUUUUUCUUGUUGAAUAUAUUGGUAAUCUCUGAAAUGUGAAUAUCAAAUUAUAAAUUUAGGCAAUAAUUAUCUAUUUUUCCAUGCUUUUCCCUUUUUGCCAUUACAGGAUUGAUUUCUUCAUCCCAAGACAACACCAUGUAGCUUGAAUUUUUAAACUUCUAAGUCUUGGAAAUAACUAUGCUUCAAUUUUAGCAUGUCCCACUGCAGCAGUCAAAUCAAGUUAAAAAUGCAUGUACAUAUGAGUGGCAAUGACAUCAAGAUAUCAUUUGACUGUUAAACAUUCAUAGCAUUGUAUUUUUUUAGGUAUUGCUUAUGUAUCCACAUACAAGGCACCACAAUUCAAACUGUGUUGAAAACAAACAUUUUGAAAUAAUUAAUUUUCUGCCACUAGCUUUAUUCCUAUUAUAGUCUCCACUUCCUCCAAGGUUAACACGGGCUGGUCCCAAGUGGAAGACCAGCUAUUGUUCCUCUCAUCCUCCUUUUGAACCAUCCAGACAACUUCCCUUAAUUACCUGGUGUCCUAGGCCCAGAGUAGUUUGUCCAAGUGCUUGCUAGAUUUUCUUUGUGGCAAGUGGCACCAGGUACAAAGCUCUACCAAAAAAUACCUAAGGGAACUAAAACAAAAGUUUUUUCCCCAAUUCCAACUCAAUUAUUCCCUCUUUGUGACUAAAAAAGAGACUACAAUGUUAGUACACAGAAUUUUCCACUUGAGAAAGUGAAAUUGAACUUUUAACCUCCACUUGCCUGAGGACCUAGCUUUGUCACCAGCCUGCUCCCAAUGGUGCUGUGUUGCCUAGAGACGAAUCAGUCAUGUAUGUUUGCAUGUGUGCAGGAGGGAUGGUCCUGAAUACUGUGGAAUGCUAAGACUCUUGACUUUCCAGGAAAAUGGGUGUGUUCCCUGGCUGCAUCAUCAUCACAUUCAUGGAAAAAUCUCAAACGUCUCCUUUUGUCAGAGAAAGAGUUUAUUAAGCCUCUCUCAGCUCUUCUUUUCUCUAAUACUUAGAAAAUCCCAAAAGAAACUUUUUGGUUAUAUGUAAAUACCAAUUUGUCUCACUUAUUUUUGUCCAUCAAUGCCAGGUAGUGAAACUGAACUCUACUAGAUAUAUUGCACAAACUCACAUCUUUGUUUGUGUCUCUGUGUUGCCUUUUCUUUUAUCCUACAAGUUAAUUUCCUUCCUCGUAGAAAGGAAAACCAAGCAAAACUCAGCUUAACAACUUUAAUAAAAAGACAAACCUGCCCCUACAGGGUGAUUCUACAUUGCCCUCUCCUAUAUAAACAAAAAUGUAUAUAUUUUAUUGACCCAGAGUUUACUUUAGACCCUUCAUCUAUUAUUGGGCUACAAAGGCAAAGACCCUUGCCAUUCAUAUAUACAAACUGUCUGCUUUUAUAGAUAAGAAUAUUGAUUAGUUAAGAGAUUUACCUAAAAUCCCAUGAAAAAGUAAGGACAAAGUAGGAUUAGAAAGCAAUUUUCCUUUCUACAGUUUAUAUAAUAUUUGUUUUGCUGAUCAAUCUCACUCCCCAGGAGUUAAUGAAGUACCUACCUUGAGGGUAAAUAAAGAAUCGAUGGAAAAUGAGUACAUUAAUUUAGAAAAAAUAGUCAUAGUAAUUUAGCUAUUAUUUUGGUGAUGAACACAUGGAUGGAUAGAUAGAGAGAGAGAUAGACAGAUAGGAGCAUAAGUUAUAUAAUUGCUACUCUGUUAUAAUUCCCUGGCUUUUUAGGAGAUAAGGUUCCUUAGACAAAGAGAUGGUGUGGCCUUGCUGGAAGCCAAGGAAUCAUCAGCCCCCAGAUGAUUCUCUGGCAACACUAAAUUGAACUUCCAUGAUAGACUGCAUGGGCUGCUUUGCAAUAGUUCACUAAGCAGCACCACAGGUAAUAAAGAUGAAACCAGUGGUCAAAUCACAAGUGAAGACAAGAUGCUGUAUCAUUUCAAAGCAAAUUUGUGGUGUUUUUAACAUUUUCAGUCACAGUUCUUGGUUUAAUUUCCUGAAUUCAAACACAUCAUGCUGACAAUUCCACAAACCUUGUUCAUGUAGUAGAUAAUCUUAUUGAACAACAAACAUUUUGUCUUCUGCAGUUGAUGUUCUCAUUCAAUGAAGUGUGACAUAUUACCUGGGUGCUGUCAAGUCUGUGAAAUACAAGGUGGUAUUUUUCUAUUUAAUGGCAAAUGAAGUGGCAUUAGUGUGAUUGUUUAUUUGAAACUUAUUUUUCCCCUCCAAACAAGAUUACUGACUUGCUCACUCAAGGGUAGUAAGGCUGUUUUAGAGACAUCCUGAUUGGGAUUAUACACAACGAGAAUUGACCUUCAGAAAAGCAUUAGAGUGGGCUCUGUAAAGAAGAGACAUUAAUGCGAGUUCCAUUGUGGUAGCUUGGGAAAAUGACAAUACUUCUUCCCACCUUUUGAUGUGCACAGUUGUUUAUGUAACUAUGCUGUACUCUCCUUCCAUGAGCUUUUACCAUGGGACUUGCUUUGGUCAAUGAUUGCACUUAAAGGCUUGGAAUGGGCUUGUUGCAUCUAGUUUUGUCCUCUUGUUCUCUACUAUUUUCUUCAGAAAACUCAUGUUGACUAGCCUGAUGUCCCAGAAGGAGCUAUCAAAGUCUUAUGAAACAGAGCCAGUUCUUGGAUCCAUAAGUGAGCUGCUGAAAUGUAAACAGUUAAGUGAGCUUGGCCUAACACCCCACAUAUAUGUGAGUAAGCACAGGAAAGAUCCAAGAGAUGCUUAGCCUAUCCCUGCUGAUCCCAAAUACCUAAACAACAAAUGCACAUUGUUGUAUGUCGCUGAAGUUCUGCAGUUACUUAUUACACAGCAUAAUUGUGGCAACAGUUGAAUGAUCCACCUGUGAUCUCUGUCCCUCUGAAUCCUCUGACAAUGCGUAUUGUGGGCCCCACUCUCAGAGAUCUUGUAGUCGAACAAGAAAAAGGAAUGUUAUCCAGUCGUGGCCAUGUUCUCAGCAUUGUGGGGGAGAUACACAAGAACAAAGCAUGGUUCAUGUCCUCAAGAAGUUUAUAAUCUCAUUAUGAAAGAAAUUUCACAUCUCCACAAGAGAUAAUUUUUAUCAGUGUAUCCUGACUGGGGGCUUUUAUCAGUUUUGUUGAACACCUUUAAUAAAAUGUGCAUAUUUUGGUGCCAAGCAUAACUCCCCAAAUCUAAAAACUUUUGGGAAUUGGGCCUAGGGAUAUACAUUUUAGAAAAGCUCUCCAGGGAAUUCUAAUGCCCUCCCUUGGUUAAGAACCAAUGGUAAGGGCCAAAUAAAAACACACGGUGUAUUUGUGUACAAGUGAAAUAGAGCAUAGGAGAAAGAUGAGGUCAGUUAAGAUUGGAGUAGUCACAAAAGACUUAGGAAGGCGGAGUCUGAACAAGUUCCUAAAAAAACCAUAGGAUAUAGAUAAGUAGAGGAGUGGGAAUCCAAACCCAGCAGAUAGAAUGUUACAUGCUCUUGAAUGGAGAUAGUAAUUAAUACAGCAUAGAAAGAACACGGAUUGAUUGAUUCACCAAGAACUUCUUUAGUAUUUACCAUGUGCCAAAUGCUAGCCUGAGUGCUUUACAAAUACUAACUCUCUUAGCAAUGUUAUGAGAUAGACACUAAUAUCAUUUUGAUUUCAUAGUACAAGCUGACCAGAGUGGAAGAAUUUCAAUACUCUCUUGUGAAUGAUCUUACAUGGGAUUUAGAAAAAGUCUAAAUGUCAGGAAAAACUUUUCUUUGCAAAGAAACCUAUCAAUAUCAAAGUUGCCAUCCACCAGCUAAUGUUCAUAAACUAGACAUUAUUUUCUCUUGAGUAUAUAUGGGUUGGAAAAAGAAAGAUAAAAAAAUAAAAAGGUAAGAUGAGAAGAAGAUAAAACCAUUUUAUAUAUUAACUGUGACUGGAGUUCCCGUCAUGGCUCAGUGCUUAAUUCAUCCAACUAGGAACCAUGAGAUUGCGUGGGUUCCAUCCCUGGCCUUUCUCAGUGGGUUAAGGAUCCGGCGUUGCCGUGAGCUGUGGUGUAGGUUGCAGAUGCGACUUGGACCCUGUGUUGCUGUGGCUCUGGCGUAGGCCAGUGGCUACAACUCCUUUUAGACCCCUAGCCUGGAAAC
rnacentral:lncRNA from 1 species